UGAAUAUAUUGAGUGAAUAUAUGCACAGAAAUAUGAAAUACGCCCAUUAAAACUGCAUAAUCAACAACGACAUCACGUACGUCAAACGUUGCGAAGCAGGAAAUUGAGUCUUUCUGAAAUUCUCACGGAAGAAAACCAAAUUACAUGGUGAAAAUGGUAAAGACAAAUUUAGUAUUUUCGACUGUUACAUUGAUCACAUUUCUUGGUCUUGCCAAAGGAGCAAUAACAUCUCCACCUGAUGGUCAAAGAUUUGUAUUUUUACCUCGAUCUUUUCACGAUAUAACUUGGAGAUUUAAUGUUACUGAAAACAUUACUUUAUGGGCUUGGAGUUUUACACCUCGUGGUUCAUCUUCCUCUCAACAAAUUGCAAGAAUAUUUGCUAAUAGCGAAACACCCCAAUACUUUCCAUCACCUUUAACAUUUGAAGUUUUUAAAGUUUUUAAACAUGGAAUUUUGUUGCUGAAUAAUUUAAAUCAAAGUUACAAUGGUGAAUAUACAUUUACUCUUGUAACUUCUACUGCUACUUCAUCAAAAGUAAAUGUUUAUGUUGCUGCUAAACCAAACGUGAUAAUUAAUUGUUCAACUCCUCUGGUUGUGAAUGAAGGUGAUAAUGUGUCAUGUGUAUGUAGAGGUGAAGGAGGUAGCCCUCCUGCUAAUGUCACAUGGUUUGAUAAAGAUAACAACAUAAUUGGUGAUGUUGGAGUUGUAAGUAAGACAUUAGUAAUCACUAAUGUUACAGUGAAUGAUGGUGGAACUUACAGAUGUAAAGCACAGAGUUAUAAUGAUCCACGUUUUAGAGAUGAAAAAUCUAUUGAAAUAACAGUGAAAGCUACUUUGAAACUAAAUGUGGUAAUUAAUUGUUCAACUCCUUUGGUUGUGGAUGAAGGUGAUAAUGUGUCAUGUGUAUGUAGAGGUGAAGGAGGUAUCCCUCCUGCUAAUGUCACAUGGUUUGAUAAAGAUAACAACAUAAUUGGUGAUGUUGGAGUUGUAAGUAAGACAUUAGUAAUCACUAAUGUUACAGUAAAUGAUGGUGGAAAUUACACAUGUAAAGCACAAAGUUAUAAUGAUCCACGUUUUAGAGAUGAAAAAUCUAUUGAAGUAACAGUGAAAGCUACUUAUCCACCACAACAAACCAAUAUCACCAUCAGUCCAAUGUCAGUAAAAAAAGGUCAAAAUGUGACAAUAACCUGUGAAUCAGAUGGUUAUCCUGAACCAACCUACACUAUUUAUCAUAAUGGUGCAGUUGUCAGCAAUAAUAAGACAUACAUCAUUCAAUCAGUCAACUUCAAUCACGCUGGUUCAUAUCGUUGUGAAGCAAAGAAUAAACUGGGAAGUGAUUUAUCUGAUGUUAAAAAUCUUACUAUCAUCACAGGAAAAAUUCUAUCACCUCCCCCUGGCACAAGUUUUACAUUUUUACCUGGAGAAACACACAAUAUAACCUGGACAUUUGAUGAUGAUUUAAAUGAUUUGGUCAGUAGAGAUUGGUUUUUUACGGGUAGUAGUAAUGGUUCACAAUCAACACUGUUGGCCACUGUCGUUCUGGAUUUGUCAGUGCAAAACUUUAAUGAACCAAUUCUUCCAAAUUAUGAUGUCUUCAAACCUUCAACACUGCAGUUAAGAAAUAUCACUUAUAGUUAUGAUGGAACGUAUGAGUUUCAAUUGAGAAGAAAAGAUGGUAUUGCUUUUAUAUCUACAGUCAGAGUUUUUGUUGCAAUAAAACCUACAGUGGUGAUUAAUUGUCCAACUCCUCUGGUUGUGAAUAAAGGUGAUAAUGUGUCAUGUGUAUGUAGAGGUGAAGGAGGUAACCCUCCUGCUAAUGUCACAUGGUUUGAUAAAGAUAACGCAAGAGUUCGUGUGUUUGGAGUUGAAAGUGCGACUUUAGUAAUUCCUGAUGUUAAAGUGAAUGAUAAUGGAAGUUACAGAUGUAAAGCACAAAGUUAUGAUGAUCCAGGUUUCAGAGAUCAAAAAUCCAUUGAAAUACAAGUAAAAUUUAAACCAACAGUGUCGAUUAACUGUUCAUCUCCUCUGUUUGUGAAUGAAAGUGAUAAUGUGUCAUGUGUAUGUAGAGGUGAAGGAGGUCACCCUCCUGCUAAUGUCACAUGGUUUGAUAAAGAUAACACAACAGUUCGUGGAUUUGGUGUUGAAAGUGCUACUUUAGUAAUCACUGGUGCCUCACCAAAUGAUCGUGGAAGUUACAGAUGUAAAGCUGAAAGUUUUAAUGAUCUACGUUUCAUUGACGAAAAAUCCAUUGAAAUAAUAGUGAAUUAUAAACCAAGAACUACGACCAUAACCCUAUCAAAAAUAAAUCCAAAAAUUGGUGAAAGUGUGAUUAUUACCUGUGAAUCAGAUGGUUAUCCUGAACCAACCUACACUAUUUAUCAUAAUGGUGCAGUUAUCAGUAAUAAUAAGACAUACAUCAUUCAAUCUGUCAACUUCAAUAACGCUGGUUCAUAUCGUUGUGAAGCAAAGAAUAAACUGGGAAAUGAUUCAUCUGAUGUUAAAAAUCUUACUAUCAUCAAAGUGAAACCAAAUGUGGUAAUUAAUUGUUCAACACCUCUGGUUGUGAAUGAAGGUGAUAAUGUAUCAUGUGUAUGUAGAGGUGAAGGAGGUAUCCCUCCUGCUAAUGUCACAUGGUUUGAUAAAGAUAACAACAUAAUUGGUGAUGUUGGAGUUGUAAAUAAGACAUUAGUAAUCACUAAUGUUACAGUGAAUAUUGGUGGAAAUUACACAUGUAAAGCACAAAGUUAUGAUGAUACAGAUUAUAGAGAUGAGAAAUCCAUUGAAAUAACAGUGAGACCUACAUAUCGACCACAACAAACCAAUAUUACCAUCAGUCUAAUGUCAGUAAAACAAGGUCAAACUGUGACAAUAACCUGUGAAUCAGAUGGUUAUCCUGAACCAACCUACACUAUUUAUCAUAAUGGUGCAGUUAUCAGUAAUAAUAAGACAUACAUCAUUCAAUCUGUCAACUUCAGUCACCAAGGUUCAUAUCGUUGUCAAGCAAAGAAUAAACUGGGAAAUGAUUUAUCUGAUGUUAAAAAUCUUACUAUCAUCACAGUGGUGAAAAUGGUGUUGAACCUUUAGCUGGAGCUAAUAAUGCACAACCCAAUCAUUAUGAAGAGGCUGGAGAACUUAGAGAAAAUGCUUAUGAAUCCGUUGGCAAUCAAUAUGAAACAGUAAAUAAUCCAUCAACAGGUGAUGAAAGUAAACCAUCAACAAGUAAAGCACCACCACCUGUAUAUGCCUCGAUCGAUAGAGAAAACUGAGAAGGAAAUCCGUUAUACUCCUACCUUGACUUUAAAGAUGAACCUAAAAGAAAGCCAGACAAAAAUCGUCCUGCACCAACUGAAUACGCCAGUAUUGAUAUGAGUAAACUGGCACCUGUCGAGAAAAAAGACGAAAAGAAAAAAGACGACAAGAAAGGCGGUGACAAAGACGGAGAUGAGAAGAAGGAUUAAACUGGCGAUCGUCGUUAGUAAAAGAAGAGAAUGUGUAAAGACUUACUACAUUUAUAAAGAUUAACUUUGUUCUUCAUUAGAUAAUCUAGAAUUAAUCUCUAAACACUAUUAAACUGAAUACUUUAUUAUUGUGUCUGUGUACAUAAUCUUUUGCCAUAAACAAACUUGAACCUUGGCAUCUAUGCUACAGUUUGUGAAUGUAUUUUACUUGCCUUUAUAAGGCAACAACAUUACACACUGACUUUAACGCAGCAUUUUGAAUAGAAUAUUGUUUUAAUCGUAGUUUUACUUUUAUUAUUUUAAUUAUCAUGGUUAAACCAUUUAAACUUUUAUUUACAUAGAAAUUAAGUGUAGAAAUUAGAUAGAAAAAUCAAGCAAUGUCAAGGAGUGUGAUGGAAAACUCUUUAAAUUGCUUCUUUACGAUUGAAUGAUUUUCAUAUGCAUUAGUGUAAGGGAUGUUUACGAAUAAAACAAUUUCGUGAUCAUUAUUA